AUGCUAACCUUGAAAUUAAGAGCUAUUUGGGCUGCAUGUGUGUGGUGCAUAUGGAGAUAUAACAAUAAAGUGUUCCGAAACGAGGAAAUACAAAUGGAAAAAUUGGUAGAAGAGGCAAAGAUUUUGGCUUGGAGAUGGCUUAGAUUAAAGUCAAAUCAUAUUGCUGAUGAUAUUGUCGCAUGGUGCAAGAAUCCUAAGGCGUGUUUCGGCAAGUACGAGGAUUGA